CACGUAGGGGGCGAGCGUUGUCCGGAUUUAUUGGGCGUAAAGAGCUCGUAGGUGGCUCGGUAAGUCGGGUGUGAAAUUUCGAGGCUCAACCUCGAGACGCCACUUGAUACUGCUGUGGCUAGAGACCGGUAGGGGAGCGUGGAAUUCCUGGUGUAGCGGUGAAAUGCGCAGAUAUCAGGAGGAACACCAGCGGCGAAGGCGGCGCUCUGGGCCGGUACUGACACUGAGGAGCGAAAGCGUGGGGAUCAAACAGG
rnacentral:rRNA from 1 species